GAAAACAAAAAUCGAGCAUCUUCUUCUUCUUCUUUCACGUACGAAACAAAAACACACACUUGACGAAUCCUCUUUAGAACAAUAAAGCUCAAAGCAGAAUCGAAUCAGGUACGAUCUUGAAUCUGAAUCACUCUCAAUUUGGGUUUGGUUAUUACUAAACCAUUGAUUUCUAUCUCCUUUCAAUUUUAUAUCUUUAGCUCCUCAUUAUCUUCUGACCUAAGUCUUAAUCUGGGUUCGAUUUCUUCAAUGCUGUGAUGUAUCAUCUCAUUUAGUGAUUAUGGUUUUUGGGUUUUAUCUUUUAUCGUUUAAUCUUGUAUGGGAUGACUCCGAAUAUGAUAAAGUCAUGACCUUUGAGUAGAUUCUAGCUGAAAUGAUCGAGCUUUAAGGUCUAAUCCUUUAUAUUGAUUCUGAGCAUAAGAAUUG
rnacentral:lncRNA from 1 species